GACUCUGAAAAGGUACACAAGAAAUGGGAAACAAUAGUUGCCACCAGAAAAAACAGAAUGGCUCAUCACUGUGUAUACCCUUUUAUAACUUGAACGUUGUACCAAGUACGUGUGUUACAUAUUCAAAAAUAAAUUAAGAAAACAACAAAAACAAAAUAAAAAUAUCUGAAACUGCACGCCUCUGAAAAUCCUGCAGUGGAGCCCAAUGGCCCGAAGGACAGAGUGCAGGUUAACCCAUCUUAAACCCUUUAUUACGAUCAGUUUACCUGUUCAGCUUAUCUCCAAUUGCGCCAUUCAGUCAGACCAGGGACCACAUGCAAUCUUUUUACGGGAAAUGCACUGGAGCAAAUUUCACUUGGUCUUUAAAACUCGUUACUGCAGUGCUUACCCUCCCGAAGCCUUUCAAGUGGCCUACCGCUCCCCGCCCGCCCCCCGCGGUUAAUGUUACCCAUUUACAUUUAACCUCGCAAUGCUUCUUUUUGUUGCAGUCAUCGCACUGUGUCGAAAUUUGUUUACAUGUCUAUUUUUGCUACUUGAUUGUGCGCUCCUUUAGGUCAAGGCUAGAGUUUAUGCUUAGCGCAGACCGAGUUCCGAAAUUAUUCUGCGAAAGAAUGAAUCAUGUAUUGGCUUCAAGGAGCUCAAAGGAAGGGAAAAUCCUUGAGCACUGGGGCUGCCUUCGAUCCCUUCGUGACGAACUGGAGGCAAGUGUGCCAGGAGCUGACUCUGAGCACCCUGGCUGGGAAGGCUGCCAGGAGCUCGGCCCUCUCCGCUCGCUUCUUCCCGGGAGCCCUGCGUACUCCGGCUUCCAGAGGGACCCCACCUCGCCCAGCGCAACCGCGCCCUCCAGUGAUCGGGGAGGCCAAUCCACCGCCCCCACAGGUGGGCGUGGAGUUCAGAGCCAGCUUCUGAGUGCGGCGUGGAGAGGCUGUGGGUCUCCUAGGUGUCAGCCAGCGGCAGCGAGAGGCGAUCCGUGUGACCAGAGGAAGGGCGCAUCCGACUGGUUGGGGCGCGGAUGGGGUUGGCAGAGGAGGGGUGGAGAGGGCAGGCGAGAGCCCAGCACCAGGCAAGGUACCGCCCUGCUAACUUUCCCGCACUUACAUUUCCUUCCCAGGGCCCAGGAUUGGGUGCCUUCCCUCAGCCCCUUCCUCUCUCCCCACCCCACUAGCCCACAGGACCUCCCCGGGGCGUGGAAUACAGGACGCUCCGCCUCGCCCGCCGCAUUCCGCGCCCCUUCCGGCCCGCGCGCACGUCGCCCCAGCCGCCGCCAGAAGGGGCGGGGCCUGGGCCUUGGCGUUCAGUCAGCCAAGGUCCCAGCGUGCCCUGCGGCGGUCAACGAGAGCAGAUCCAGUGACUCACAUCCGCCGCGCUAACUCUUUGCUCGCUCUCUACUUGCACACGCUUACACCCGGCUCGAGAUGGCGGCGGCAGCGGCGGGGGACUCCGACUCCUGGGACGCGGACACGUUCUCCGUGGAAGACCCGGUGCGGAAGGUGGGGGGCGGCGGCACCGCCGGCGGGGACCGCUGGGAAGGCGAGGACGAGGACGAGGACGUCAAGGGGACCUCAUUCCAGAACUAAUUGAAAGAACAAAUUUUGGUGUGGAGGGACCUAGUUCCCAGACAUAUAUUUUAUACUUCAGCACUCAGGUAAGAAGUCAUGUUUAAUAUGACGCCUUAAAGGAACUUUGGCCUGUUCAAAACAGGUUCCUUCAUUAUUUUUCCAUUCGGAUUGUGGGAUAGCUAUCUCUGGGCCUUAGUGUACUUACAUGUAAAGUAGGGAUAACAGCGCCUUACUUACAGAACUUUUGUGAGGGUUAACUGUUACUAUAUGUAAAAUCCUUUGGGGAAUUCUCUGGCUGUCCAAUGGUUAGGACUCCGUGCUCUUACUGCCAAGGGCCCAGGUUCAAUCCCUGGCUGGGGAACUAAAAUCCCACAAGCCUCUCUGUGCAGCCAAAAUUUAAAAAGUAAAAAUAAAACAUAAAGUACGUUGCACAGUGCUUGGUGCAAAGUAAGCCCUCAGUAAAUGCUAUCUAUUAUUAUUAUCAUCAUCACUGUUAUUAGUAGGGAGUUAUAAAUAAACAUCCCCUGGAAGUAAGCAGUUGGUCCUUUUAUCUGAAGCACCAUCUAAGCAGCAUAUCACUCACAGACCCAGCUUUCCUGUGUUCUGUGAAGAUUAAAAUGACAAAAAACUCCUGGUAGUAGUUAACUUUUAUAUUUAGCUCUCUGGUUCCUUUUGUACUAUGGUGUAUUGAUACAAGCACUUAAGCAAACCAGCAGGGUGAUAUAAACAUUUGCUGUCUAAUUUCUAAUCUAGUAUCUUAGAUGUUCAAACAAUGACUAGCUGGUUUGCUUUCAUUCUGUUUGUUAACAAUGAACUAAGGGUUAAAUUGCGAAGGUAAAGUUAUUAUAAAAAUGCUUUUGUACAAAGUUCUUCCCACUGCUUGCAGACCCCAUGGCAGCCUUAAUCAGGAUUUUUUAUUUCUUUGGAUUUACAGAUUUUUAUUAAGAAUCAAGGCUUGGUUAGUUUAUAUACCUAGGCUGUUGAUUCAGAUUUAUGACCUGUCUUGUUAAAAACCAGAAGCUUGGUGUCAUAGUUAUGGCACAUUAGUCAGCUUCUGCCUCUUCCACUAGCAUCAGGACCUCCUGCUUUGCACCUGCCAUGCUGUGGCUCAGCUUCCAGUGGGCGUGUCCUGGUGUGCCUGGCGGUUGUUGAGACAGUGGUCAGGCUACCUAUAGAUUAAAGUCUAUUUAAACACAGGGCUGUGUCUUUGUCUAUUAAACCUUCUAAAUUCUGUGGAGCCUUUAGAAGAUUGUUUGAUAAUUGGUUUAUAUUUUGCCCAGUGACUGUGACUGUAAAGACAGUAUAGAUCCACCUUAAAGUGCCCCGCCCAAGUUAGGGAGUGGGUUCCAUGAAGCUGUUGAUCAGCUCUUGACUUUUCUAAUACUGGGAUUAACUUUUUUUUUAAUUUAAUUUUUUAAAAUUGAAGUAUAGUUGAUUUAUAGUGUUGGCCUUAAAUUUUUAUAAAGAUUUAAUUCAUUAACCAGGGUUGUGUUGUAUGGAAUAUUGCUUGAAAUAACCAAGCCAUUAGCUAGAAUGUUGGAUGCUUUUACAUUUGGGGAAGUAAGAAGUAUAAAGACUGCUCAGUUUUUCAUUUAAAACAACUGAAUUAUUUAAGAGAGGCUGUUAGUUUUGGCUUGGUUGUCUUGUGUUUUAAUUGUUAAUGGAGAAGCUUUUUUGUGGAGUUAGACAAGUUGAUAUAAAAAUUCAUAUGGAAAAACAAAUGUGCAAGAAUGGCCAGGAAAACAGUAAAAAAACCCUGAAAACCUGCAAGGGGUGACUAGCCCCAGCUUACAUACGAUAAAGCCUCUAAUCAAAACAGUCGGUGCUGGUACGUGAAGAGACAACAGACCAGUGCGACAGAAUAGAAAACAGAAAUAGACUAGGUACCUAAGAAAAUUUAGUAUAUGGUAAAUCACAGGGCAAAGAUGGACUUUUUUUAAAAUUGAGAUAUAGCUGAUUUACAAUAUUAUAAGUUUCAGGUGUACAACAUAGUGGUUCACAACUUUUAGAGAUUAUACUCCAUUUAUCGUUAGAAAAUAUUGGAAAGGUGGACUUUUCAAUAGAUGGUGCUGUGACAGUGGGUAACCAUUUGGAAAAAGAUAAAAUUAGAUCCAUACUUCACACCAUACAAAAGAAAAACCUCCAGUGGAUCAGAGAUCUAAAUGAAAAAACAAUGAAAGCAUACAUGUUCUAGAAGAAAAUUCCUUGCUUUAAGAAAAGACUUUCUGGGCUUCCCUGGUGGUGUAGUGGUUAAGAAUCCACCUGCCAAUGCAGGGGACACGGGUUUGAGCCCUGGUCCGGGAAGAUCCCACAU